CAGUCGCCACGGUAAUACGGAGGAUCCAAGCGUUAUCCGGAAUCAUUGGGUUUAAAGGGUCCGUAGGCGGUCUUGUAAGUCAGUGGUGAAAGCCCAUCGCUCAACGGUGGAACGGCCAUUGAUACUGCAGGACUUGAAUUAUUGGGAAGUAACUAGAAUAUGUAGUGUAGCGGUGAAAUGCUUAGAGAUUACAUGGAAUACCAAUUGCGAAGGCAGGUUACUACCAAUUGAUUGACGCUGAUGGACGAAAGCGUGGGUAGCGAACAGGAUUAGAUACCCCAGUAGUCCCUGUCUCUUAUAU
rnacentral:rRNA from 1 species